GCGCUGGUUAGCUCAGUCAGUUGAGCGUGGCGCUAACAAUGCCAAGGUCGCGGGUUCGAGUCCCGUUCGGUCCC
rfam:Apaloderma vittatum contig53513, whole genome shotgun sequence.